rnacentral:SRP_RNA from 1 species
CCUUUAGACCUGUGCAAUGGCAUUGCGGGGUAAUGUGUCAGGGUAGGAAUACAGCAGCACACUCCGUCUUGUUAUGUGCCGCAGGUAUCUGGAGGGGA